AUUCAGGGAAAACAUUCAACUCUUCCAUGAGGCCAAGACUCUCAGAAGAGAGUGCUUAAAGAUAAUACAAGUGCGGACGAGUGAUGGUUGAGCUCCAGUCUCCUUUCUUGAGAAUAACACGAGGCACAGACCAAGCAACAGACCAAGGAAGAGAGAAGAUGCUAAGCAGUAAUGGCACAACAACGCUAUGGCAGUAGGAAAGCAUAGCCACUAUUCAAGAGAUAGCUAAGCAGGAGAGAUUGUGGCAGCAAAUCAUUGGGACAAGUGGAAAAUCCAUUGGAAUACAUAUAUCUAUGGUAAACAGAACAAGG